UUUUACAAGGCAGUGCGCAGACAAUUCAGCAGGCAAACAAGCAAGCCAGAAAAACGUUUAAAGGCAACUUGACACGCCGGCAAAUAAAAUCUAAACUUUUAAAGAAAACCCUCAUCUUUUCCUCUCCCGUCCCCCCGUCCACCCGGCCAAUCCACUGACUGCUGCAGAGGGGUCGAAGAAGCUAAAAACGAAUACGAAUACGAAUACGAAAAGCACAUUUACCAAACGAAAAGCGAAGAAAAACCCAAUGAAACGGCCGGGGGAUGGAGCGCCAAGAAAAAGAAUCACUCAUACGCACCCACGCACACGAGGAUUGGCGCCCGACGUUUGACGCCGCAUGGCAAAAGCGCUUAGAAAAGAAAUAGCAUAUAGUGAAAAAAAAAACACCAGAGUACAAAAAUACUCGGUGCCCAGACCAACCAGGACUUACCAAAAGGCAGCCGCUCGUAGGAGUGGCGGCAGGAGCAUCCUGCAGACGACAACGGUGCCAAGGAGACGACGGGCGGGAACCAGGCGGCGUUGGCAGCAGGAAUUCUCCAAAAGAACGAACUUUGGCCAACUUGUAAUAAGCUGCACUCAAGAAUAUUUCCUACAUAUUGACAACUUCGUAGUGUAAACUUUUCAAUGGUCACUUAUGAGCUUUUCCCCGAAAACCGAUGCUUGACAAGUUGCCUCUUUUGAGAUCGGCCACAAAGGCACUUCAAAUGGAGGCUCACACAAAAUAGAAGAGCCACACUCAGCAUGCGGUCAGCAAAAAACAAGAAAGUAAAACAAAAGCACCCAGAAAGCAGUUUGAGCAGAAAUUGCCCAUAACGAGCACUUGACCAGGGACAAAAUGUGAGAUGCCAGAGUUCAGAGGAAUUUCACAUCUUUUGUAUACCUUUUUAUUUCGAGGGCAUGAGUGUGUGUAGCCCGAUAGCCGUGUUCUUGUGGCGAAUAAAUUUAAAGUGCUCGAAGAAAAAAGUGAAAAUAGCGUUGCACUUAAAGACCGCACAUUUGUCUCAAUGA